rnacentral:tRNA from 1 species
AAGAAAGUGGCAGAGCGGUUAUGCAGUUGGCUUGAAACCAGCUUAAGGAGGUUCAACCCCUUCCUUUCUCG